rnacentral:lncRNA from 1 species
CUGCUGCACUGGGGUGCUGCUUGUGGCUUUGGGAUAGAUGCUACUACAGAGGGAGCUAGCAGCCCAAGUUCUCAGAUGCCAUAACAUGGAAUUACCUGGCUUUCAGCUCCUUGCAGGAUGUGGUGGUCCUUUAAGUCCUCUGCUAAAGAAGGACAUCUAUAUAUGGAGAAACCCAUUGCAUUACUACUGGAAGAUGAGAGAAGCAGACAACAAAUUGUAUUGGUGCCCAAGUGAUGAAGGUUUCAAGAAAUUCCAAAAGUUAAAUUCUUCCAACUUUCUGAAAGAAGAUGAAAAUUUGAACACAUAUUAA